rnacentral:rRNA from 1 species
AUGGAGAGCAAUUUAGUGGAUACAACUCCAACGUCAAGGGAGUUUACACUCGACUUCUUACGACAUAUUACGAAUAAUCUUUCUGAGGACCGCAUAAUUGGGAAGGGUGGGUUUGCAGUAGUUUACAAGGGAGUAUUGGACAACGGGGAAGAGAUUGCCCUGAAGAAGCUUACUCACAUAGGGCCUGAAGUCACGAAAUUUGCAGAUGAGUUCAAUAACAUUAUUAGGGCCCAUCAUCAAAAUAUCAUACAGUAUGUUGGCUACUGCUAUCAUCCAGGCAACUGGAUGAAGCUCGAUGAAAAAUAUAUCUUUGCUCAUGAGCCAAUAAGAAUUCUCUGCUUUGAAUAUUUGCAUGGUGGAGACCUUGAGAGGCACCUUUCUGAUGAGCAGCCAUGCGGACUUGAUUGGCAGACAUGUUACAAAAUAAUUAAGGGAGUGUGUUCCGGUUUAAAUUAUCUUCAUAGCGUAAAUAUUUACCAUCUAGACUUAAAGCCAGCAAAUAUACUGCUGGACAACAACAUGAUGCCGAAAAUAGGAGAUUUUGGUAUAUCAAGAAUCUUCCCUUCAGCAAAAACCAUUACCACGGCAACAGGAACAUUGAUAGGGACAAUGGGAUUCAUGCCACCGGAAUAUAUUAACGAAAACAUAAUCUCACAAAAAUAUGAUGUGUUCAGUUUGGGUGCCGUAAUCCUACAAAUAAUGGCAGGACGCCAGAGUUAUCGCGAUUGUGGACGUGAUCCUUCUGAAACAUUCAUUGAGCUUGUAUGUGAAAAAUGGCGAAAAAAGCUACAUCCAACAAUGUCACCACACUCAUGCCAACAAGUUAAUGCAUGCAUUGGAAUAGCUUUAAGAUGUCUCGAGGAUGACCGACAGAAAAGGCCCACCACAAGGGAGAUAGCCACUGAGCUUAAUAGGAUUGAUAUGGGAAACUUAUCACUGACGGAGGAGGUCGUCAAUGAACUUAAUCUGAUUGAUACUGAAUUUUGUUCACUUACAGAUAAGGCUACUAACUUACAAAGCAGGGUGGCAUUGGCCUAUAACCAUUACAAGAACUCAGGUGUAUCCGAUCUUCGCGGCGACUGGCGUGGCCGUUUCCAUCUGCGCCGUGCAGCUCAUCCGCAACAUCACCACCAACCCCGAAGUCAGGGUGACCAAGGAGAACAGGGCGGCGGGGAUCCGUAUGCUAAGUUGCUUGCCCUGGGACAAAGUGAGGUGAUAGAGGUCAACCAUAUACUAAUCCUUGGAUGGAGCAACAAGCUGGGCUCUCUUCUGAAGCAGCUAGCUAUAGCAAAUAAAAGCAUUGGUGGUGGUGUAGUUGUUGUCCUCGCAGAAAGAAACAAGGAAGAGAUGGAGAUGGACAUAGGAAAGCUAGGAUUUGACUUCAUGGGAACAUCUGUAAUAUGUAGAAGCGGCAGUCCUCUAAUCCUAGCAGAUCUAAAGAAGGUUUCUGUUUCCGAAGCACGUGUUAUUAUUGUUUUAGCACCUGAUGAAAAUGCAGACCAAAGUGAUGCACGAGCUUUGCGUCUCGUACUGAGCCUGACUGGAGUAAAAGAGGGCUUAAGGGNNCAUAUUCUUUUGCAGAUAUGGGAGGAUAUUUUGGGAUUUGAAAAUGCAGAAUUUUGUAUAAAAAGAUGGCCAAAAUUGGAUGGCAUGCGGUUUGGCGAUGUGUUAAUCUCAUUCCCUAACGCUGUGCCCUGCGGAGUGAAGCUUGCGUCAGCAUUUGGAAGUAUAUUAAUGAAUCCGGAUGAUGAUUAUGUUUUAAGAGAAGGUGAUGAGAUCCUUGUUAUAGCAGAAGAUGAUGAUACUUAUGCACCUGCUCCUCUACCAGAGCUGCAUAAGGGUUUUCUACCUAACGUUCCCACCCCUCCUAAAUAUCCAGAGAAAAUUUUGUUCUGUGGUUGGCGACGUGACAUUCACCAUAUGAUAAUGGUUCUAGAAGCAUUUCUUGCUCCGGGCUCUGAAUUGUGGAUGUUCAAUGAGGUGCCAGAGAAGGCGAGGGAGGCAAAACUGACUGACAGUGGUAUGGAUAUUCUUGGACUAACAAACAUUAAACUUGUACACAAAGAAGGGAAUGUUGCCAUCAGGCGGCACUUAGAAAGCUUGCCUCUUGAGACCUUUGAUUCUAUUUUAAUUCUUGCAGAUGAGUCGGUGGAGGACUCCGUUGUACAAUCGGAUUCACGGUCCAUAGCUACACUUCUUCUAAUUCGUGACAUUCAGUCCAGACGUCUUCCAUCGUCGAAGGAGUCAAAAUCACCUCUACAUCACAAUAGCUUCUCUCACAGCUCAUGGAUUCAGAAGAUGCAACGUGCAUCGGACAGAUCAAUAAUAAUCAGUGAGAUACUGGACUCAAGAACUAGAAACCUUGUAUCUGUCUCCAAAAUCAGCGAUUACGUCCUGUCAAAUGAACUUGUCAGUAUGGCAUUAGCAAUGGUAGCAGAAGACAAGCAAAUCAACAGAGUUCUCCAGGAACUUUUCGCUGAGGAGGGCAACGAGAUGUGCAUACGGUCUGCUGAGUUUUACCUGUACGAACAAGAGGAGUUAAGUUUCCUGGACAUAAUGGUGAGGGCUCGUGAGAGAGACGAGAUUGUGAUCGGCUACCGGCUUGCAAACACCGAUGAGGCAAUCAUUAAUCCAGAGCAUAAGUCGGAGAUUAAGAAGUGGUCUUUAGACGACAUGUUUGUUGUGAUCGCGAAAGGUGACUGA